rnacentral:rRNA from 1 species
UACGAAGGGGGCUAGCGUUGCUCGGAAUCACUGGGCGUAAAGGGUGCGUAGGCGAGUUAUUAAGUCAGAGGUGAAAUCCUGGAGCUCAACUCCAGAACUGCCUUUGAUACUGAUAGUCUUGAGUAUGGGAGAGGUGAGUGGAACUGCGAGUGUAGAGGUGAAAUUCGUAGAUAUUCGCAAGAACACCAGUGGCGAAGGCGGCUCACUGGCCCAUUACUGACGCUGAGGCACGAAAGCGUGGGGAGCAAACAGG